GGCUCAUUAUUCAGUAAUAAUCUACUUGAUUUUGACUUCUCCUACUUGGAUAACUGUGGUAAUUCUAGAGCUAUACAUGCAUUAAAGCUCCGACCUCACGGGAAGAGUGCAUUUAUUAGGACAAAACCAGCGGCUUCGGCUGUUUUCGGUUGACUCAUAGUAACUGAGCUGAUCGCACGGUCUUGCACCGGCGACGUGUCUUUCGAGUUCUGGCGUAUCAACUUUCGAUGGUAGUGUAUCUGACUACCAUGGUGAUCACGCGUAACGGAGAAUUAGGGUUCGACUCCGGAGAGUUCGCCUGAGAAAUCGCGAACACAUCUAAGGAAGGCAGCAGGCGCGAAAAUUACCCACUCUCAGCACGAGGAGGUAGUGACGAAAAAUAACGAGACCGUUCUCUUACGAGGCCGGUCAUCGGAAUGGGUACAAUUUAAACCCUUUAACGAGUAUCUAUGAGAGGGCAAGUCUGGUGCCAGCAGCCGCGGUAAUUCCAGCUCUCAAAGUGCAUAGAAUUAUUGCUGCGGUUAAAAAGCUCGUAGUUGGAUCUGUGCCUACGGACGUGGUCUACCUUCGGGUAUGUACUACGCUCCUGGGCUUUUUGCUGGUUUUCCCGUCGUGGCCUUCACUGGUUGCGGCGGGUGACUGGCGAGUUUACUUUGAGAAAAUCAGAGUGCUCAAAACAGGCGUAUCGCUUGAAUGAUUGUGCAUGGAAUAAUAGAAAAGGAUUUCGGUCCUCUUUUAUUGGUUUUGUGGACUGAGAUAAUGGUUAACAGGGACAAACGGGGGCAUUCGUAUCGAUGCGUGAGAGGUGAAAUUCUUGGACCGUAUCGAGACGCCCUACUGCGAAAGCAUUUGCCAAGAAUGUCUUCAUUAAUCAAGAACGAAAGUCAGAGGUUCGAAGGCGAUCAGAUACCGCCCUAGUUCUGACCGUAAACGAUGCCAACUAGCGAUCUGCCGGUGGAUUUUUAGCCCUGGUAGGUAGCUUCCCGGAAACGAAAGUCUUCCGGUUCCGGGGGAAGUAUGGUUGCAAAGCUGAAACUUAAAGGAAUUGACGGAAGGGCACCACCAGGAGUGGAGCCUGCGGCUUAAUUUGACUCAACACGGGGAAACUCACCCGGCCCGGACACCGUAAGGAUUGACAGAUUGAUAGCUCUUCAUGAUUCGGUGGUUGGUGGUGCAUGGCCGUUUCUUAGUUA
rnacentral:rRNA from 1 species